rnacentral:lncRNA from 1 species
AAAGCCCCAAAUGCUUGGAGGGAAGCAAGCAUGGACCACACUUUUACUCCAUUAUCCUUCCUUUUCCCACCGAUUUUAUUGUAAGCAGAGUCCCUUUUUUUACAAAACAAAAGCCCCAAAUGCGAAAUCGUCUACUAACUAUUCACUCUCUGACGAUGUUAAAUCUCGUCGAUGACGAUUAAUCCCUGUGGAAGACGUGUGCACAGGUAAAAUCAAUUUAUGUUGUGGGUGCACGAUUAGCAUUUUGGUUUCACUCUUCUUAUUUCUCAGUUUUCUUCAAUAAGCAACGAACCAACUGAUUUUCUUCUUAUAGUUUAGGUGAAUCAUGAUGUUAGGUAGCCUUCAUUAUUAUAGUUUGCGUAGAUCUUGAAAAUUUUAGGUGUGUGAAAUUUUAGUUGUAAUAUUUUAAAGAGAGGGAAUGGCAACUACUUCCUGAUUUUUGGGCAAGGGAUCCUACUUUUAUGUAGAACUAAUUAAAUUAUAUGAACACUGAAGUCGUGUAUUUUCAAGUGUAUUACAUGUGCAUAAAAACCAAACCAUCUCUGUCUCUUAUCAAAGAAAAGAAUAACAGAGGAAAUGGUGUUGCCUCUUAAUUUUUAUUCUUACUAUAUUUAUGAGAAAAUGGUUUGGCCUCUUAAUUUCUACUAUUAGUGUAGUAAUUGUGUUGUUGAGGAAAAUCGGCUUCUCUAUUUGACAGAUGCCUUGGCUUGGUUAUUUAAAAUUUCAUUAAAAUUGAUAUUAUUGUUAUUUAAUAAUUUGAUUUUAUUAUCCAAACUUAAUCGACGAAGGUGGCAAAGGUGUGUAAAAAAGGUACAAGUGCUGCUGUUUUUUCAAUCCAAAUCUUCAUAUUUCCUUUCUCAAUUUUGUUUCCUUGUGAAGACGUUGGUAGAUUUUUACUUGUGUUUUUCAACCUUUUUAAAAUGGGGCACGUUCGUGAGAAAAUGAAUCUGAAAAGUGUAAAUAUUAUGCCCUAGGUCCAAUCAACUUUAGACAUAAAUACUUUUGAUAUAUAAUUAAUGCAAUUUAAUGAAAGAUUUAUUAUUUGAUUAAUAGAUAAUUAAAUAAAUAAUAGAGUCCGUAGAUUCAAAUCUUUGUAAUUUGUUAAUCAUAAGGAGUUGUGAUUGUGAGAUACAAAUUACAUCUGAUUGAAUCUUAAAUCGUCCGUGGUCGUAAGUAAUAACAAGAUACGGAUAUCGUUAUUACGGAUAGACCAUCACGUGUGGCAUUUCUUACUUAUGAAGUAAGUAGUUAAUCUCACAAACUAAAGUAUGGUGACAUUUAAAUGAACACGUAGAUGUUUUGUUAUAGAACAAAACAUUGGAGAUCCGCCGAGAGAUUCCACAUGGAUAACUAUUUGAGUGUCAGUGGUUAAUCUCUAACGUUCGAUAGUGGGAUUGGUCAUUUUGACUUGGGGUUGUCAUAGUACUUUAUAUGAGGACGGUCAUGCUUUAACGGCCUUGCAUGUUACUCUGCCAAGGGCUGCUAAUACAGCAUCGUUUGGGUAUGUCAAUAAUCUUAUGAAGAUUGUGAAUGACCAAUAGAGGAUUCAUCACUCUUAGAUAGUAAGAGAUUAUGAUCUGCGUUUCAUUCAAUUAAGUCGAUAAAGAAAUCCUUGGCCAAGGUGUACUCAUAAGUCGAAAAGGAGUUUUCGACUUAUAUUGACUUAAUAGUGGAGUGAAAGAUAUGAUCGAUAAUCGAGAUUGACACACUUCCAUAUCUCGUAAUUGAUCGGAUCAUAUUGACGAAGGGAUUAUAAUUUCACGGUAAACGAACGAUUUUGGUUUUGUCAUACCACAUGACAUUUUCCGUCACAUAUAUUGUCCUGACACAUUGUUAGAUGUCAAUCUGGGAUAACAAGUGUGAAUUGAUUAUAAAUUAAAAGGGUUUUUUAAUUUAUCAAUUUUGAUUAUAUUAAAAUAAUAUUUCACGUCGUUAGAUAUCGUGAUCGGGAACCUGAUGGGUCGUAUACAAAAGAGAAUGGGAAGAUUGCAAUUUGUCAAUUAAUUAAUUUAACAAUCGUUGGAUAAAUUAAUUAAUUGGUUUGGUUAUUUAUAGGCCCAAAUUAAUUAAUUGGAUUAAUUAAUUGACGGACCGAAUUUAAUUAUAUGGAUUAAUUAAAUAUUGGACCAGACUAGGCCAGGCCCGUUUGGGUUUAUAAAAAUACAUGACUAGAGUUUUCAAUCCAUAGGUUUUUCUCAUAAUUAUUCUUGCUAGCACAAGAGGAGAAAACCUUGGUAGUUGAAAUCUUGUUUUCUGUGUGGAUCACCGUUGGAGGCUGGACAAUUAGAUAGCUGUGGAUGAUGAAUCAAGAUUGCUGGAACGAAAAGAAUAGCAAAGAAGUUUGCAGAUCUGUAAAAAGUACAAUCUUAUUACAAUUUCUAUCUAAACACAAAGACAAUUCUUGGUGGGAAUCGAAAUCUGUUUUAAUUUUUCGCUGUACAUGUUAAGUAAAUUCCCAACAGUGGUAUCAGAGCCUACUUUGUAUUUGUUAGAGAUUGUUUUAAAUUUUUGGGAACAAUCAAAAGUUAAUUUUGUUCUUUUCUUAUUUCUAGCAAUUAAGAUGUUAUUUGAUUUUCAUUCUUUUGAAAUCUGAUUUAAAAAGAAUAAAUUUUGGAUCGAGAAAAAAAAAGGAAAGGGAAUCUGCCGAUGGCACUGCGACAGCGGGAGCGCCGCUACUGCUGAUUUUGCAGCAGCAGCAGCAGCUGCUCGCUGCAAGCAGCUUCCUGCUGCCGCUGGCUAAGGGGCAGCGUCAUCGCCCCUUAUUAAUAAAUGAUCGGCGCCGCAGGGAAGGGUAUUCUUCUAGGGUUGUCAAGGUCGGGGUGGACGAGGUUGGGACGGGGGCUCAGGUUGUAAAUUCAAAGAUGUUGAGCCCUUGUGUGCAAUUUCAAUUCAGGGUCAAUUGUAAUUAUUUUAAUGAAGGGCCUGCCUGUAAUUUUCGAAAUUGGAGGGUCUGAUUAUAAAUUUAAAUUUGGGUCAAGAUGCAAUUUUCAAAAGAGUUUUGAAUUUGAAUCUUAAAAUGGUUUUAAAUUUGAUUUUCAAAUGGGUUUAACCUAAAAUUUCAAUUUUGACCCAAAAUAAAAUUUUAUUUAAAACUGACAACGUUUUAUAUUUUUGUUAAAAUAUGAUUUUAACUUAAAUAUUAAAUUUGACCCCAAAUAGAAUUUUAUUUUAUCUAGGAGUGUUAUCCUAUAUUAAAAUAUUAAUUCUAUUAAAAUUGGAGUUUGACUCUAAUUUAACACUUAAUUAAAAUUUGAUUUUAAUUAAUUAUUCACCCCGAAUGUAUUCUAGAAAUUAGAAUUUGAUUCUAAUUUGACAUUUAAUUAAAAUUUGAUUUUAAUUAAAUUGUCUUACCCUAAAAUUUUCUUUGGAAUUAGAGUUGGACUCUAAUUUAAUAUUUAAUUAAAAUUUUAUUCUAAUUAAAUAAUUUACUCUAGCAUUUCUUGAAUUUACAAUUGGAUUCUAAUUUGAAAUUUAAUUAAAAUUUGAUUUUAAUUAAAUUGUCUCGCACUAAAUUUCUUCUUGGAAAUAGAAUUGGACUUUAAUUUGAUAUUUAAUUGAAAUAUGAUUUUGAUUAAAUAAAAUUCGCCCUUAAAUAUUGGAAUUAGAGUUAGAUUCUAUUUUAUUAUUUAAUUAAAAUUUGAUUUUCAUUAAAUUCAACCACCUUAAAUUUUGAAAUUGGAGUUUGACUCUAAUUUGAUAUGUAAUUAAAAUUUGAUUUUAAUUAAAUUAUUCCCCCCUAUCAUUGUUGAACUGGAGUUGAACUCUAAUUUGAUAUUUAAUUAAAAUUUGAUUUUAAUUAAAUAUGCCCGUUAAUUAAAUUAAUUAAUUAAUACGAUUAAUUAAUUAUUUAAUUGUUCCGAUCCAUUUGUCUAAAAGAGUUUAGACGACUUAAUUGCUAGAAACUUGAAACUAGUUUGCAUAUAAUAGUAGAUAUUAUUUAGGUAUACAUUUAUGUGAUAAAUAUAUUAUUAGUGGACAAUUAUGGACUCGAUCAUAUGGAUGUGUUGAAUGGUUAAAUUUUUAUUCUUGUCAUUUUAUGGGCCUGCGAUCUCUUAAUUAUUUUGGGCCUGCGAGCCCGUUAUUAUUGUUAUUAUUCUGAGUCUGCGAGCUCUUAAUCAUUUUGGACCUGGGAAUCCGUUAUUGUUACUAUUAUUACUAUGGGCAUGCGAGUCCAAUUUCAUUUAGACCUGCAUGCCAACUAGUAUAGGAUACAGGUUGUAGCUAAAUUAAUUGAAGAAAAAAGAAGAGGAGGAGACCAUGGAGAUGGUGCAUUGAUACUGUUCAAUGCUCUACCCCCUAAGAAUUGACCAACUAGUCUUCCUUAUGACUCGGGAAAACUAAAUAGUAAAAGUCCAUAAUCGUUCACACUAUUAUAUUAUGUUAUAUAUAUAUUUAUUUACAUGGUAGAUGUAUAAUAAAAUAUAUAUUAUUGUUACGAUGAGACCUUUGAAUACAAAAUCCCUCUACAAAAUAUUAAGUCACAUUUAUAAUUGUCUUCCAUCAUUAUAGUGAAAAAUCAGAGUCUCAAAUCGUCUCAACUUGUUGAGUACACUCAAGACUUGUCUAUUAGGGAUAUAUUUGACACUAUGAAAUAUUAGAAAUUUCUGAAUGAUGGGUUUGAUUUAACUAAAAAUUUAUCUUUUGUUGAGUACACUCAAGGAGAUAAAUUUUAGAGGCAUGUUAAGCUAACACAUAAGAUGUGUGAAGACAAAGAGUUGUCAGCUUAAUGAUCUGAGAGUUGUAUGGAGAUAUAAUUGAUAAUAAUAUCUACCCAAAUGUUAUAUUAAGGCUUGUUGAGUACACUCAAGGUCUUAGUAUAACAGAUGAGAUCCCAACUCACUGAGAGUCGAGUAUGGACUCCAUAAAUUUAUGUGAGAGGGUCAUAAAUUUGUAUUAAACAAGUGGGAGAAUAAUUAAUUUAAUAAAAAUUCAUAUUAAAUUAAUUGAUGCAUUUUAUAAAUUAUUCUUUUUCUUUUCGUCAUUUAUAUUUAUUGAAUCGUGAGUAACCAUGUGUAUUUGAGAGGCAUAUUGGAUGCCAACAACCAAAUUAAAUCUUCUUGAUUGGCACUGUAAUUUGAGAAUUGUUCUUAAGCAUGAGAAAGUUGGUUGUCCUUAAGUAGCCAUUUUCCAGAGACAUCUGGUGAUGACUCGAUUAAAGAAGAGGUGGCUGUUAUAAUGAACGCAGUGAUGACAAUAGUACUGCAACGUAUGCAAUACCUGCAACUAAGUCACUUGAGUUACUAAAGCAACUUGAGCGUACAGAUGUUGACACAUAAUUCUUCAUUACAAAGAGUUGUAUGAUAAUAAUCAUGUGUGGAAGGAUAUGAGACCUUCAAACAACUAUACCGAUGCAAAGUGAUAAAAGAAUCUUCACUCAAUCCUCAUGUACUGAAGAUGAUUGACAUGAAAGUGUCUCAACUGAGUUCAAUCAUUAACUAUGAACUAAGUAUUGACUUAGCUCUGCAAUCUCUGUCAUAGAGUUAUUCAUACUAAUUAUGAAUUAUGAUAUAAAUAAGCUCGAAUGCAUACUCAUUAAGUUGCUUAACAUGCUUAAAACUGUUAUACCCAAUAACAAAGUUAGAAGUGGGCAAGCCAUUGAUUCCUCUAAGGGUAUUAAGAGGAAGUCUAAAGGGGCUUUGUGAAAGCAUCCAAUAUGGUUAAGACAGUCUAAGUGAAAGGACAACAGCAAAUUUAAUGACCCUUGUCUUCAUUAUAGAAUGAAAGGUCAUUGGAAAAAAUUAUUGCAAGGCUUAUAUCUAUUUCAUUAGCUUCUCAGGUAUUAGAUACUAGGUGUGGAUCUCAUAUUUAUACAAAUAUGGAGAAACAAAAUGGAGAUAGAUCACUACAAGAGGGAGAAGUUAACCUACACGUUGAAGAUAAGCAAAUGUUGCUACAUUGCCUGUAGGAGCAUACUUCUUGCCAUUACCUUUUGACUUAGUAAUAGAAUUAGAGAAAUAUUUCUUUGUACCCACCAUAGCUGGAACAUUAAAAUGAAUUUCAUGUUCAGACAUGAACCAUUUUAAUGUUAAGGACAAUUGUUGUUCCUGCAUAUCUUGAUUAAGAUCUUAAUAGUUAUGGUAAGUUACAAAAUAACAUUUAUAUUCUAAAUACUAAGGAUUCUAUAAUGAGUAUAGAAAUUAUAAGGCAUGAAUGCAAUAAUUUAAUUAUUACCGAAAUCUGGCAUGACAGACUUUGUCAUAUAGAUGAAAUGCAAUUUCAAAGUUACAUAAAAAUGUAUACUCGGGAUUAAUUGAUUUUGACAAGUACAAAUUAUGUAUGUCUGGAACAAUGACCAAAUCUUCUUUUACUUGAACAGAAGAAAGGUCAGCAUAAUUACUGAUCUAAUGCAUAGUGAUGCAUAUGGACUCAUGUCAAUUGAUGUCAGGAAAUGUUUCUCUUAUUUUAUCAAUGAUCAUGUAUACUUGAUGAAACUCAAACAUGAAACUCUAGAAAAGUUCAAGGGAUUCAAACUAAAAGUAGAGAAAUAAAUAGGUAAAGAUACCCUCACAUUAAGAUUCGAUCAAGUGAGAGUAUCUUAAAGAUAAAAUCUAGAUUAUCUAUAGAUUAUCUAAAAGAGAAUGAGAUUCUCUUGCAGUGGACUCCUCCAUAUACACUGCAGCAUAGUGGUAUAUCUGAAAGCAGAAAACGUUAACUAUUAGAUAUAGUGCGAUUAAUAACAAGCCAUGCAAAUCUCCUAAAAUUAUUUUGGGGUCAUGCAUUGAUUGCAGUGUGUAACACACUAAAUCAUAUCACACCUAAGUUGGUUAACAGAACUCCAUACGAUUUAUGGAAAGGUAAUAGUCCCAAUUUAUCUCAUAUGAAAGUUUGGGGCCAUGGCGCUUAUUUGAAGCGCAUUGAAUCAGAUAAGUUUGAGAUUAAAUCCAAUAAAUACAUAUUUGUGGUAUAUUCAAAGCAGAUAUUUGAAUAUAAAUUCUAUUAUUGUGAAGAAAGUCUUCACCUCACGACAUAUCGUCUUCCUAAAGAAAAUGUUUACUCUAGGGAGGACAGUGAGAGCAAAAUAGAAUAUGAAAGAGUUCAAGGGUCCAUAAAUAUAGUUAGCCAAGUAGAUGAAUCCGAGUUUGAUCUCAUAUCUGAUAUACUCUUGAUCAGGAAGUAAAGACUCUUGAGGACAUGUCAGCUCUAUGUGAAUCUAGUAGGAUUAUUCGACCUUCGAGAAUGUGCCAAUCCACAAUUACUAAUCAGGUAUUACUGAUCUAGGAUAAUGAACCUGCUAGUUGCACCAACAUAAAGUCAAGUGUUGACUUAAAAGAGAUAGGAAGAGGCCAAGAAACUCGAGAUGAACUCGACAUAUGUGAACAAGGUUUGGACCUUGGUCAAGCCUCCUGAUGGAAUAAAACCCAUAAAUUUUUGUAAAUAGUAAACAAGGAAAAGGUCGAUAUGGAUGGGAAUAUCCAUAUAUACAAAGCAAGGCUAGAAGCAAAGGUUAGGUAUUGACCUUGGUGAAACAUUUCUCCUAUAGCCUUGCUGAAGUCCAUUUGGGUUUUGCUUGCAACAAUUACAUACCGUGACUAUAGGUUAAGAGAAGUCUCUUGGAGUUGAAAUCUUAGAUUUGAUGAAAAAGUCAAAGUGUUUGAUUUUAUCAAAUUUGAAGACAAAUUGUGUAUUUACAAAAAGAUAGUAGGAGCAUUAUCGUAUUCCUAAUAUUAUAGAAAACUAUAUCCUUAUAUUUCAAUCGUUGAAAUAAUGGUUGUUAAAUGAUUUAUUCAUGAACGAUAUGAGAGAAUCAACUUGAUCUAUAGAGGUAGAUCUAGAAGAUUUCUUAACUCAUCCAAAUUUACAUAGAUGAAAUCUUGAGAAGAUUUCAUAUGGAGAAACUGGUUUACUCUUAAGCGGUAUGUUGGAAAGGUUCCAAACGUGAAGCAAUCGUUGAUUCAAUAGUAGAAACCUAAUACAUGAUUACUUCAGAAGUAGCAAAGAGCUGCAAUCUGGAUCAUGAUGUUCAUAAAUGAACUUGGAGUAGUUCUUGUUAUUGUUGAUCACAUGUCAUUGUAUUGUGAUAACAAUAGAGCCAUUUCGAAAGCGAAGGAACUAAGGUAUCAUCAAUGAUUCAAACUUGUAUUAAGGCGGUAUAAUCUCAUCAGAGAGAUAAUACAUAGAAAUGACAUAAAGAGAAGAACAAAUUCUGACAUUUAACAAUAUUGUAGAUCUAUUGACAAAGAGUUAUCGUAGCAUAAACAUGAUAGUCAUCUAGACUUAUGAUAUUGGAUACAUAAGUGAUUGGAUCUAGUGCAAGUGGGAGUUUGUAAGUAUUAUGCCCUACGUCCAAUUAACUUUGGACAUAAAUACUUUUGAUAUAUAAUUAAUGCAAUUUAAUGGAAGAUUUAUUAUUUAAUUAAUAGAUAAUUAAAUAAAUAAUAGAGUCCGUAGAUUCAAAUCUUCGUAAUUUGUUAAUCACAAGAGUUGUGAUUGUGAGAUACAAAUUACAUCUGAUUGAAUCUUAAAUCGUCCGUGGUCGUAAGUAAUAACGAGAUACGGAUAUCGUUAUUACGGAUAGACCAUCACGUGUGGCAUUUCUUACUUAUGAAGUAAGUAGCUGAUUUCACAAACUAAAGUGUGGUGACAUUUAAAUAAACACGUAGAUGUUUUGUUAUAGAACAAAACAUUGGAGAUCCACCGAGAGAUUCCACAUGGAUAACUAUUUGAGUGUCAGUGGUUAAUCUCUAACGUUCGAUAGUGGGAUUGGUCAUUUUGACUUGAGGAUGUCAUAGUACCUUAUAUGAGGACAGUCAUGCUUUGACAGGGUUGGAUGUUGCUCUGCCUAGGACUGCUAAUACAAUAUCGUUCGAGUAUGUCAAUAAUCAUAUGAAGGUUGUGAAUGACCAAUAGAGGAUUCGUCACUCUUAGGUAGUAAGAGAUUAUGAUCUGCGUUUCAUUCAAUUAAGUCAAUAACAAAAUACUUGGCCAAGGUGUACUCAUAAGUCGAAAAGAAGUUUUCAACUUUUAUUGACUUAAUAGUGGAGUGAAAGAUAUGAUCGAUAAUCGAGAUUGACACAUUUCAAUAUCUCGUAAUUGAUCGGAUCAUAUUGACGAAGGGAUUAUAGUUUUACGGUAAACGAACGAUUUUGAUUUUGUCAUACCACAUGACAUUUCCUGUCACAUAUAUUGCCCUGACACAUUGCUAGAUAUCAAUCUGGGAAGGCGAGUAUGAAUUGAUGAUAAAUUAAAUGGGUGUUUUAAUUUAUCAAUUUUGAUUAGAUCAAAAUAAUAUUUUACAUCGUUAGGCACGUGAUCGGGAACCUGAUGGAUCGCACACAAAAGAGAAUUUGAAGAUUACAAUUUGUCAAUUAAUUAAUUUAACAAUCGUUGGAUAAAUUAAUUAAUUGGUUUGAUUAUUUAUAGACCCGAAUUAAUUAAUUGGAUUAAUUAAUUCACGGAUCGGAUUUAAUUAAAUGGAUUAAUUAAAUAUUGGAUAUGACCAGGUCAGGCCCGUUUGGGCUUAUAUAAAUACAUGGCUAAGGUUUUCAAUCCAUAGGUUUUUCUUAUAAUUAUUCUUGCUAGCACAAGAAGAGAAAAUCCUGGUAGUUGCAAUCUUGUUCUCUCUGUGGAUCACCGUUAGAGGUUGAACAAUUGGAUAGCUGUAGGUAGCGAAUUAAGAUUGCUGGAAUGAAAAGAAUAGCAAAGAAGUUUGCAGAUCUGUAAAAGGUAUAAUCUUAUUACAGUUUUUAUCUAAACACAAAAGCGAUUCUUGGUGGGAAUCGAAAUCUAUUUUAAUUUUUCGCUGUACAUGUUAAGUAGAUUUCCAACAAAAAGAUGAUUGAUUUGUCUUGAGAAAUGAAGUUAGUUAGAUUGUUAACUAUUCAAAACUUUGAGUUGAGUUUUGCUUAUUUUCUUGCUUAUCUUUAUUGCAAAAAGCACAUCAAUGGACUGAAUUUUUCCCCUCACUAGUUUCUUUUAUCUUCAUUUUUUUCACUGUUAUGGUCAGUGUUGUUGUUACUUAUGGAGAAUAUGUUUUCCCUUUUCAUCUACAAGGAAAUGAAGGAAUGUGGUGGUUCUUGUUUAUCAGCCUUUGCUGUGAAUCUGGAGUUUAGGGAACUUUGCAAGUGAUUUCCAGUGCCCAAUUUACUGGUCAAAUUUAUGGUUACAUAUUCGGAUUUGUUUAGUUUUGUAACCCCCAAUGACAGUUUUCGUAUGCAUUGGGUAUGUAACAGAAGCAACAUUGUAAUGGGUAGUGGAAUGAUUACCUACAUGGUUUUAACAAUUGUGUGAUCAUUUUUUUUCAACAUAAGGCAACGUUCUAAUGGAUAGUGGG